CGUCUGUUGAGAAGAAAAAUAGGCCUAAAAGGCAAAAAUGAACAAUUGAACACACUAUCUUGUAUCUAUCUAUCGAUUUAGCCAAAACAACUCGAAAUCCAUUCAAGACUUUUGACGCGCAGGAACGUGCGCACAUAAAAGGCUAUAAGGAAACCAAAUUUCAUUUCAGAAUUGGUUAAAAUUAUGUUAUGAUCAGGGUUUAGAUAAGGACGCUGAACAACAGACGAAGGCAGAAGAACUUCUAUUGGCUGAAGCAAGUUUUAGGACAAAUGCCUUCAGAAUCAUCAAUAUAAUGAUUGAACUAUGCAGAAAUAACCCUGGCAGUAAGGUGCAUGUGGAUGAGAUUCUCCACAGCAUCUUCUUCUUAGGUUUAUUUCGUAAACCCCAACAAUGCACCCCCAACGAUAUCCUUGGUGAAUUUAUGCCUAAAGUGCAGGAGACUUUCCCGAGACCAUUUGUGAAUUACACAAGUAAACUGCCAAAACGGACUCCGUUCUCCUCUGUGCUGGAUAUGGUGGUCUCCUCGCUUGGACCAGACAUAGAGAUCAAUAUACUGGUGGAGAGACUGCAGGAAAUCGCCAAUCGCAUGUCAGAACCCAAUAGUAAAUACAAGUUCACCUCCUCAACCAUCUGUGUCUCUCAAAGGAGGAUGUUCAAGGAAGUUACUAUGGAGCGUCCAUGUCCUGCAAUGGGAAGCAAGAAGGACAGAUCAUGGUUGCUGUGUCCUGUCUGAGUACCUGGCACUGCGGUGUAUCCAAUGCUGUGAUGACAUACGACCCAAAAACCAUGAUGAAGAGAGAGAACUUUGACCACACCUUCAAUCUACCAACACAUUUCAGGUGCCAGGCUUUCAAUCUGAGUACUGGGGCCGAGAUGAAACCUUGCAAAUCAUGUCAUAAUCUGUUUGGCCUUGAGACAAGUGAAGUUAAGAUAUGGCCCUACGGGAACUGCGCCGAGGCAGAGAGCUUGAGUAAACUGUUCGAUGGAAAUGGAUUUGAUGCUAUUGGAGUAGUAGAUGACGAGGUGCGAAGGCAGGUGAUACAGUCGGUAAGAUCUGACCUGCAAAUAAAACUCAGGUCUAUUAGAUAUGAAUGGGAUGGUGACUAUUACAUUCCACUGUAGAUUGUCAAAGAUGAUGGUGAAGCACAUCCAUACACACACAAUCACUUACAUACUUCACACACACUUAUAAACACUCUUACUGCAACACACUGAGAUCCAAAACAUGAAACAUAUAAUCAUAGCUUGGUGCGGGGCUAGCAACAUGUGAUUUGUGGCUGACAGUUAGCGUUGAAACAUUGCCAAAGCAGUGAACCACUAUGUGCAUGUAGUAUACAGUAUAACUGCUAGGCUACAGCUAUCGGCUCUUAUCAAUGACAUCUGUGAGGUAGAUGGUUCUUUUAGAAGGGGACCGUUGUUUAGAGUACCUCAUGGAGAUACCUGAAAUUGAAUUUAAUAUUCUAGUCUAGACACAGCAUUUAACAUAUAUAUAUUUUUAAAGAUGAUUUUAAUUGGGAUUUUAAACUUUAUUUCUGUAUACUCUAGUUAUUAAUGUACAUUUUACUAAUCUGUAACAAAUUACUAAUACUGUAAACGUUGGUGUGAAUUCAUGUCUGGGUUGAUUUCUAGCUAUGUGAGGAAUUCAUCUAAUAAAGGAACUUACAUUGUAACCAUUGUAA